ACGGCUCAGUAACACGUGGAUAACCUGCCCUAUGCUCUGGGAUAACCUCGGGAAACUGAGAAUAAUACCGGAUAGAUCACAACGCCUGGAACGGUGUGUGGUUGAAAGGUUACGGCAUAGGAUGGGUCUGCGGCGUAUCAGGUUGUAGGGGGUGUAAUGGACCCCCUAGCCAUCGACGCGUACGGGUGUUGGGAGACAUAGCCCGGAGACGGAUUCUGAGACACGAAUCCGGACCCUACGGGGUGCAGCAGGCGCGAAAACUUCACACUGCGGGAAACUGUGAUGAGGGAACUCCAAGUGGAUGCACAUAGUGUAUCUCUUCUCUUUACUAUUAAUCGGUAUUGGAAUAGGGGCUGGGAAAGACCGGUGCCAACCGCCGCGGUAAUACCGGCAGCUCGAGUGGUCGUCGCUUUUAUUGGGCCUAAAACGUCCGUAACCGGUUUGGUAAAUCUGUGGGUAAAUCAACUAGCUUAACUAGUUGAAUUCUGCAGAGACUGCCAGACUAGGAACCGGGAGAGGUGUGGGGUACUCAAGGGGUAGGGGUAAAAUCCUGUCAUCCUUUGAGGACCACCAGUUGCGAAGGCGCCACACUAGAACGGAUUCGACGGUCAGGGACGAAGCCUAGGGGCACGAACCGGAUUAGAUACCCGGGUAGUCCUAGGUGUAAACGCUGUGAACUUGGUGUCGGGAGUCCGCAAUGGGCCCCCGGUGCCGGAGUGAAGAUGUUAAGUUCACUGCCUGGGGAGUACGGUCGCAAGGCUGAAACUUAAAGGAAUUGGCGGGGGAGCAC
rnacentral:rRNA from 1 species